rnacentral:misc_RNA from 1 species
CUGCUGGAUAAUGGCUGAACGCCUCUAAGUCAGAAUCCAUGCCAGAACGCGGCGAUACCGCCCGCACGUACAGAUGGACAAGAAUAGGCUCCGGCUUAGCGUCUUAGCAGGCGAUCUGUCCGCGGCGCAGGAAGCGCGCCGCGGUGUUUCGCGUAUUGUAAUUUCAACACGAGCGGGGUCAAAUCCUUUGCAGACGACUUAGCUGUGCGAAACGGUCCUGUGAGCAGUAGAGUAGCCUUGUUGUUACGAUCUGCUGAGGGUCAGCCGUCACUUCGCCUCGAUUUCCCCGACGAUGCCGCUGGGUCUCUCGCUGCGGCGAGGCCCCAGCGUGUCGUGGGGGGGGACUGUGCAGGGGAGGGAGAGGGAGAGGGAGAGCUCGCCCGCCUAGACGGGCGGCGACGACGACGACGAGUACGAGGACGACGAGAUUGCCUCUGCGUCUGCGAGGGCCGAGACGGUGCAGGGUAAGCCGGCUGACUUGGCUUUGACUUUGCUUCCGUCUCUGUUUUCUUCUCAUUCCCCCCUCUGCAAAGGUGAGCGGAUCGGGGCUCGUGGGUGUUUGGUUUGUAUGGGCGGGAGCGCACCUUUUGUUUUUCGCCAUACAAAUCGACGCUUUCGGGACGAGAAAAGUAGGCCGGGUGGGUGUUGGUGGCGGGGCCGCGACGUCGACGAGGUCGGAGGGCCUGCGAGCGGGGGACCUCGCUGGCAGGCAGGCAGGGGCGGGUCAGCGGUCGCCGCGGGGGGAGGGGGUCUGGGCGCUGGUUCCAGGUAGGUAAAACAAGAAAGGCUGUUAGGAGGCGCGGUGAAGGUAAUGGAUUUAUAGGGGGAAGGGGGCGAAGUUGGCGGUAAGAGGCCCUUACGGGGAGGGAGCUGCCGACCUAGCGGCUGGGGCAGACGCUGUCGGGAGGGGUUGGCGCGCUGCAGGUCACGUGACAUCGGGUAAGUCACGUGGGAUCACAGAAGGAAGACAUAGGGUAGCUCCGAUGUUCUGCUAUGUAGAGGUCACGUGACAUUGGGUAAGUCACGUGGGUAUCUAGAGGUCACGUGACAUUGGGCAAGUCACGUGGGAUUACAGAAGGAAGACAUAGGGUAGCUCUGAUGUUCUCUUAUCUAGAGGUCACGUGAGAAUAAAGGUAUAGGGUAGGCUCUCCGUCCUCUAUUGAUAAGGUAUUAUAGAAGUUGAAUAACCCAAUGUCUUCCGUACUAAAACCGACUUAGAUACGAAAUGGUGGGGGGCGGGGUGGUAUAGGGUAGGUCAGUCGGUGUAGGGUAGGCUUGGGUUGGCUGCGGCGUUAUCCCUCCCCUCGCUGCGCUGGUGGUGCCUGGUGCAUCAGUGCAUUAGUGCAUGCUUGCAGCGCUCGCAGGGUGUGCCGUCGGGCGCUGGUGGUGCCUAGUGCAAUUGGUGCAUGCUUGCAGCGCUCGCAGGGUGUGCCGUCGGGCGCUGGUGUGGUGCGGGGCGGCGCGCGAGGAACUUUCCCCAAAAUCUGCGCUCGUGGGUUUUUCGUUUGUAUGGGCGGGAGCAGACCUUUUUUUUUUUGCCAUACAAAUUGAGCGUUUUCGAGAAAAAAAAAAGCGCGCGUUGUAUGGUGGGGGCGGGGCCGGAGCGUCGAUGGGGUCGGUGGGUAUGUGAGGGAGGGGCGAUCAGCCCGGACAGCCCUCGGGGUCGGAGGCGAGCAAGCCCUGUGCUGCAGGGCGUGUGAGCGCUGGCUUGUGGGCGAGUACCGCUCCCGACGUACCAUAUCUUGCACGGCGCCUAUAGGUGACUUCUCAAAAGAUCUUGCAGGCUUCCGUCUCGGUUGAGACAGAGUCAUAAUGGGCGCCAAACGUCCCCGAAACUGGUCGCUACGGCUUCACAGCGUACGGGAUAUGCCUGGCUGCAGCAGGGGGCCUCGUGCCCCGUUCCUGCGUGCCGGAUGGGUUCUGUGGGCGAUUGGCCGCUGGGCGGGUUCGCCGUAGACACAGAGCAGCAGGGGCCAACCACGGGCAGCUGACGCCGGAAUGGCUGACGAUGCCCGCUGAGUCCUCCUCCUAGGGCGCCCAGGCCGCACGAACGUGCGCGCCGACGGCGGCCCUGGGGAACGUUAGAGGGGGAAAGCGGAAUGCCUCGGGCGGUCCUGCUGGCCUUUGCAAGCCGGCGCUAAAGGGCCACCCGCCAGGCGCCGCCCGUCCUCGUGGCGGGCGACCACCAGAAAACUAACUCUCUCCAGCGCCGGCCCCCGCGGCGCUGGCAGGCCACCCCCGGCGAACGAUAGUUACCUGGUUGAUUCUGCCAGUAGUCAUAUGCUUGUCUCAAAGAUUAAGCCAUGCAUGUCUAAGUAUAAGCAAUUAUACGGCGAAACUGCGAAUGGCUCAUUAUAUAAGUUAUCGUUUAUUUGAUAGUAUCUUGCUACUUGGAUAACCGUG